rnacentral:rRNA from 1 species
CGGGACGGGUGAGUAAUGUCUGGGAAACUGCCUGAUGGAGGGGAUAACUACUGGAAACGGUAGCUAAUACCGCAUAACGUCGCAAGACCAAAGAGGGGGACCUUGGGCCUCUUGCCAUCGGAUGUGCCCAGAUGGGAUUAGCUAGUAGGUGGGGUAACGGCUCACCUAGGCGACGAUCCCUAGCUGGUCUGAGAGGAUGACCAGCCACACUGGAACUGAGACACGGUCCAG